rnacentral:lncRNA from 1 species
GCCUGGAUGAGGUUGAAGAUAACAUGGACUAAGCUCAAUUAGAUGCUGUUUGGUGUUAAUAGUGAUCAUCUAUUAAUAGUAUUGAAUGUGAAAAUUAGGUACAUAUACUAAAUUAUUGAACUGCUAUCAUGUGCUGACAUAAUGCAUGUUCACUACUGCACGCUUUUGACAUAAGGGUGAGAUUGCUCCCAAGGUAAGUUUCUUGUGAAUAAUUCCAAAUGCUAAAGUUCCAUGCCAUGUCAAGUCAUUCGUCCUGUCCGCUGUGAACAAUUCCUGCAUGCAUCACAGGUCUUUUUCUUUUUAUAUUUUUAGUUUCCCUUUUUGCAUUGCUUUUUCUUUAUUUAAUUUGCUGCUCUUGAAAUAAUGCAUGCAUCUACACAUGCUGAGUUAAAAAAGAAAAGACAGAGGAAAAUUUUCAGAAAACAGCAGCAAAUUUACAUAUACUACCACAGGAUGGAUCCUUUGUAAAGUACUGUUACGUAGCCAUAACCUUCUCUUCUCUGACUGACUCUAUCUGAUCUGAUAUAUAUACUAGAUGGCAGGCAGGCAAGCAGCCUGUAAUUUUCCAUCAUUCUUCCCACAGAGCCUACGUACUGACGACUCCACCAGCUAACUACUGGUCGCAUCGCAUGUGUGCACCCAAAAGUUCUGAACUGAAUAUAUAGUACCUGUUGUUACUUAGUUAAGUUAUAUUUCUCUGUUUUGCUGUUUUAUUAUGUUUCUCUGGCAUGAGGAUGCACUGGUUAGUAAGCAUUCGUAACAUCCUAAUUAACAUCACCCGAUGCUAGCAUAAAUGUCACAUUGCAUCGACUAAUAGUGAUUUUUCUCAUCUAAUUGCAGGGUUGAUUCCAUUUGUUCUAGCCUGUUGGUGCUGGUUGUGAGGGAGACUGUAGUGGAUUUUAUGCCUAAAAACACUAAAAAAUUCUCUUUGGUUAUGUAGUAAAAUUAAUGUAAUUGACGUAAACCUAUAGACUCUUGAACUUUUUUCUUGGGUUGCUUAACACAUUCUUCUGAAGCCAA